CUGUUCUCAGUUCGGACUGCAGUCUGCAACUCGACUGCACGAAGCUGGAAUCGCUAGUAAUCGCGGAUCAGCACGCCGCGGUGAAUACGUUCCCGGGCCUUGUACACACCGCCCGUCACACCAUGGAAGUUGGUAACACCCGAAGCCUGUAGCCUAACCGCAAGGAGGGCGCAGUCGAAGGUGGGAUUGAUGACUGGGGUGAAGUCGUAACAAGGUAGC
rnacentral:rRNA from 1 species